CAGCACCUCAAGUGGUCAGGAUGAUUAUUGGGCCUAAAGCAUCCGUAGCCGGCGCUGUAAGUUUUCGGUUAAAUCUGUACGCUUAACGUACAGGCUGCCGGGAAUACUGCAGAGCUACGGAGUGGGAGAGGUAGACGGUACUCGGUAGGAAGGGGUAAAAUCCUUUGAUCUAUUGAUGACCACCUGUGGCGAAGGCGGUCUACCAGAACACGUCCGACGGUGAGGGAUGAAAGCUGGGGGAGCAAACCGGAUUAGAUACCCGAGUAGUCC
rnacentral:rRNA from 1 species